UACUGAGGGGAGGCAAGCGUUUGUUCGGAAUUACUGGGCGUAAAGAGCUCGUAGGCGGUCUGUCGCGUCUGCUGUGAAAACCCGAGGCUCAACCUCGGGCCUGCAGUGGGUACGGGCAGACUAGAGUGCGGUAGGGGAGAAUGGAAUUCCUGGUGUAGCGGUGGAAUGCGCAGAUAUCAGGAGGAACACCGAUGGCGAAGGCAGUUCUCUGGGCCGUAACUGACGCUGAGGAGCGAAAGCGUGGGGAGCGAACAGG
rnacentral:rRNA from 1 species